rnacentral:rRNA from 1 species
GACGAACGCUGGCGGCGUGCUUAACACAUGCAAGUCGAACGGAAAGGCCCUGCUUUUGUGGGGUGCUCGAGUGGCGAACGGGUGAGUAACACGUGAGUAACCUGCCCUUGACUUUGGGAUAACUUCAGGAAACUGGGGCUAAUACCGGAUAGGAGCUCCUGCUGCAUGGUGGGGGUUGGAAAGUUUCGGCGGUGGGGGAUGGACUCGCGGCUUAUCAGCUUGUUGGUGGGGUAGUGGCUUACCAAGGCUUUGACGGGUAGCCGGCCUGAGAGGGUGACCGGCCACCUUGGGACUGAGAUACGGCCCAGACUCCUACGGGCGGCAGCAGUGGGGAAUAUUGCACAAUGGGCGGAAGCCUGAUGCAGCAACGCCGCGUGCGGGAUGACGGCCUUCGGGUUGUAAACCGCUUUCGCCUGUGACGAAGCGUGAGUGACGGUAAUGGGUAAAGAAACACCGGCUAACUACGUG